rnacentral:rRNA from 1 species
ACGAUCAGUAGGGGUUCUGAGAGGAAGGUCCCCCACAUUGGAACUGAGACACGGUCCAAACUCCUACGGGAGGCAGCAGUGAGGAAUAUUGGUCAAUGGGCGAGAGCCUGAACCAGCCAAGUAGCGUGCAGGAUGACGGCCCUAUGGGUUGUAAACUGCUUUUAUGUGGGGAUAAAGUGCGUGACGUGUCAUGCAUUGCAGGUACCACAUGAAUAAGGACCGGCUAAUUCCGUGCCAGCAGCCGCGGUAAUACGGAAGGUCCGGGCGUUAUCCGGAUUUAUUGGGUUUAAAGGGAGCGUAGGCUGUCUAUUAAGCGUGUUGUGAAAUUUACCGGCUCAACCGGUGGCUUGCAGCGCGAACUGGUCGACUUGAGUAUGCAGGAAGUAGGCGGAAUUCAUGGUGUAGCGGUGAAAUGCUUAGAUAUCAUGACGAACUCCGAUUGCGCAGGCAGCUUACUGUAGCAUAACUGACGCUGAUGCUCGAAAGUGCGGGUAUCAAACAGGAUUAGAUACCCUGGUAGUCCGCACGGUAAACGAUGGAUGCUCGCUAUUCGUCCUAUUUGGAUGAGUGGCCAAGUGAAAACAUUAAGCAUCCCACCUGGGGAGUACGCCGGCAACGGUGAAACUCAAAGGAAUUGACGGGGGCCCGCACAAGCGGAGGAACAUGUGGUUUAAUUCGAUGGGAACCUUACCCGGGCUUGAACUGCCAGCGAACGAUACAGAGAUGUUGAGGCCCUUCGGGGCGCUGGUGGAGGUGCUGCAUGGUUGUCGUCAGCUCGUGCCGUGAGGUGUCGGCUUAAGUGCCAUAACGAGCGCAACCCUUUUCUUUAGUUGCCAUCAGGUGAUGCUGGGCACUCUAUGGAUACUGCCACCGUAAGGUGUGAGGAAGGUGGGGAUGACGUCAAAUCAGCACGGCCCUUACGUCCGGGGCUACACACGUGUUACAAUGGGGCAUACAGAGUGUUGGCUUAACGCAAGUUUGGUCUAAUCUUCAAAGUGUCUCCCAGUUCGGAUUGGGGUCUGCAACCCGACCCCAUGAAGCUGGAUUCGCUAGUAAUCGCGCAUCAGCCAUGGCGCGGUGAAUACGUUCCCGGGCCUUGUACACACCGCCCGUCAAGCCAUGAAAGCUGGGGGUGCCUGAAGUCCGUAACCGUUAAGGAGCGGCCUAGGGCAAAACUGGUGAUUGGGGCUAAGUCGUAACAAGGUAGCCGUACCGGAAGGUGCGGCUG